rnacentral:lncRNA from 1 species
CCUCCCCGGCACACCUGGACUCGAUUCCUGCCCCCCCAAAUAAAGCCCAGGUGUGAUCCAGGUGUGCCCAGGUGUGCUCCAGGUGUGUCCAUGUCUAUCCAGGUGCGCCCAGGUGCGCCCAGGUGCGCUCAGGGGGGCGGCAGGAGGGGCGUGGGCACACCUGGCACCCCCGGAACCGCACAGGUGACCCCUCCAGGUGUGUCCACGUCCAUCCAGGUGCGUUCCACGUCCAUCCAGGUGUAUCCAGGUGCGCUCCAGGUGUGCCCACGUCCAUCCAGGUGCGCCCAGGUGUGCUCCAGGUGUGUUCCACGUCCAUCCAGGUGUAUCCAGGUGCGCCCAGGUGCGCUCAGGGGGGCAGCAGGAGGGGCGUGGGCACACCUGGCAGCCCUGGAACCGCACAGGUGACCCCUCCAGGUGUGUCCACGCCCAUCCAGGUGUAUCCAGGUGUGCCCACGUCCAUCCAGGUGCGCCCAGGGCGGGGUCAGGAGGGGUGUGUUCCACGUCCAUCCACGUCCAUCCAGGUGUAUCCAGGUGUGCCCAUGUCCAUCCAGGUGCGUUCCACGCCCAUCCAGGUGUAUCCAGGUGUGCCCAUGUCCAUCCAGGUGCGUUCCACGUCCAUCCAGGUGUAUCCAGGUGCGCUCCAGGUGUGCCCAUGUCCAUCCAGGUGUGCCCACGUCCAUCCAGGUGCGCCCAGGUGUGCCCGGGCGCGCUCAGGGGGGCGGCAGGAGGGGCGUGGGCACACCUG